CCCCAUUACAGCAUCAAGCAUAAUCGUUAGCUGUAAAACCCAGCUCCUCAUGCUUGGCUGUAGUAUUCCAAAUGCCUCCCUCUCCAAGCUAGUUCUAUAUGGGAGAGAAUUAUGAAAUUGAGAGUCUCGAUGCCAAUCUUGGAGAACAAAGAGACCAAUUAACCAGCUGAAGGGUUUUCAAGUGUCCCUAAAUAUAAAUCAACAUGCCAAACUACGCGCUAUUGACGAUUUUCCUUUAAAUCCUGGCACACGUGCUUUAGCCCAUCGCGGGCCCAUUAGUUGACGUCUGUUGGCUUCGGAGUCCUGGCUUGCUGGAGGGAGAGAGGAGCACUCAAUAAAUACCAUUGAUUCACUGACUCACGAUUGAUUGACAUCACCCCACUCCCCGGCCCCAAGGGACAUCCAUCAUGAUUUGUGUCAGCCGAGCAGUUAUGGAGAUGGACAGCUUAUUAUCAGCUUUAAGGGAAGAAACACAAAGCAAGCAGGACUGCUAUGAAGAGAAUCGGGGAAUGUGGGGACCAAUCCCGGCAACCGAGACUAAUGAAUCUGGCCAAGCAGGCGGCGGAUGGAGGAGGCCUGACCCAGGAACACUGCUGGAAAUUAGCUUCGUCGACCCGAAGGCAGGAAGGACUGAACGUAGCCAGUAAUGAGGAAAUGUGCGAAGGAAAAAAGGUACAGUAUUGAAUUCUGAGAGCU
rnacentral:lncRNA from 1 species